GAUGAAAUGCUAAKAUCCCUUUUUUUGAAAAAAUUAAUAAUGGCACUGGUAAAGGCGAAAGCAUCCCCUUAUGAGAUAACUGACGUUAAAGGACGAAGGCUUUGAAUAGCGAAUAGGAUUAGAUACCCUAGUAGUCGAAGCAGAGAAUGAUGAGUGUCAUAGAUUGGAAUAAGUUUAGUCUAUAAAUGAAAGUGUAAGCACUCCACCUUAAGAGUAAUGUGGCAACACCGAAAUUGAAAUCAUUAGACCGUUUCUGAANNNNNNNNNNNNNNNNNNNNNNUAAUUUGAUGAUCCGCAAAAAACCUUACCACAACUUGAAUAUAUAUAUAUAUAAAUAUAUAUAUACAAGCGUUGCACGGCUGUCUUAAGUUAAUGUCGUGAGAAUUUGGUUAGCUCCAUUAAAUUGACGUAAACCCUCGUUCUACUUUAAUGUAAAACGGUUCACCUAUAUAUUGGGUAUGAUAAAAGGGAGGAAGACAAGUCAUCAUGGCCUGAAUGUUGU
rnacentral:rRNA from 1 species